CGUCGAGAAAAGUGUAGAAAAAGAACAACAAAAUGUUGAAAUUUCGACCCAGAAAAACACAAAGUUGCAGGUCGACGGGAAGACAACACAACAACACAAAGGGUUAAGAUAAGAGCUGAAAAACACAUCUUGUUAACCCAUGAGAAGUCAGUCGAAGUUUGAUUUAUUACUGCAGACAGACGGUUGCAAGAACGGCAUGAAAACAGAAAAAUUAUUAAGAUAUUGCCAAAAAAAAGGUCUUUUGAAAACAGCAUCUUUCUGCCUGAAUGCCAUCUGUAGCGCUCCUAAAUAUCAGCACAGAUAGAAGUCAUUUCACAAGUUUAGAAAAGUUGAUUAAAAUUAUAUAACUUAAUUUUUCAGAGUCCUAAAAUUAGGGCCAUGUUUCCCUCAGUUUGUGGCUGAUUUAUUACCCUUAAAUGCUCGAUAAACGGCCCAGAGCUUCUUACUGAUACAGCAGCGUGAUUAGCUCAGAUUUCAGGUGGAAUAUUAUUCUCUGCAAUCGUAGUUUGUCAGUCUGGAAAUACAAAAAAUCUGUUCAUUAUUUCUGUGGAAAAGCUAACUACCAUCAUUGCAUUUUGAUGGAUUUAAAUACUUGUUUACUAACUGUACUACUGUGAACUAAUAAGUAUGAUUAUUCCCGGGUGAAGUGAAUGCAGCAUGAUGACUCAGGGCUCUGGUUUAAAAUACAGUCAGACAAAAAAAGAAGGGCAUCACUGAUUAACAGCUGCGUAUGUUAACAUAUACGUGUUCAUACUGUAAUAAUAAUAAUGGAUGAUGUAUUUAAAAUGUAGUGACUGAAUGUAUCUGGUGGCCAGUGAUAAAAAAAACAACUGAUGUAAGAAUGUACUGCAGUAGUUUGUGGAGGCCGGACAGUGCCACUGAAAUAAUUUUAAAUUAAUUGCAAUUGAAUUUCCAUGACAAUUAAAACUAUCUUAAUUAAGUG